rnacentral:rRNA from 1 species
CCUACGGGAGGCAGCAGUGGGGAAUAUUGCACAAUGGGGGAAACCCUGAUGCAGCGACGCCGCGUGAGUGAAGAAGUAUUUCGGUAUGUAAAGCUCUGUCAGCAGGGAAGAAAAUGACGGUACCUGACCAAGAAGCCCCGGCUAACUACGUGCCAGCAGCCGCGGUAAUACGUAGGGGGCAAGCGUUAUCCGGAUUUACUGGGUGUAAAGGGAGCGUAGACGGCAGGGCAAGUCUGGAGUGAAAGGCGGGGGCUCAACCCCCGGACUGCCCUGGAAACUGCCCGGCUGGAGUGCAGGAGAGGUAAGUGGAAUUCCUAGUGGAGCGGUGAAAUGCGGAGAUAUUAGGAGGAACAACAGGGGCGAAGGCCGCUUACUGGACUGUAACUGACGUUGAGGCUCGAAAGCGUGGGGAGCCAACAGGAUUAGAUACCCGAGUAGUC